rnacentral:rRNA from 1 species
AUUGAACGCUGGCGGCAUGCCUUACACAUGCAAGUCGAACGGCAGCACGGGGGCAACCCUGGUGGCGAGUGGCGAACGGGUGAGUAAUACAUCGGAAUGUACCCAGUAGUGGGGGAUAACUAGUCGAAAGAUUAGCUAAUACCGCAUACGCACUAUGGUGGAAAGCGGGGGAUCGCAAGACCUCGCGCUAUUGGAGCAGCCGAUGUCCGAUUAGGUAGUUGGUGGGGUAAAGGCCUACCAAGCCUGCGAUCGGUAACUGGUCUGAGAGGACGACCAGUCACACUGGGACUGAGACACGGCCCAGACUCCUACGGGAGGCAGCAGUGGGGAAUUUUUGGACAAUGGGGGAAACCCUGAUCCAGCAAUGCCGCGUGUGUGACGAAGGCCUCGGUU